rnacentral:tRNA from 2 species
GGCAAGAUGGCCGAGUUGGUCCAAGGCGUCAGGUUUAGGUCCUGAUCAUCUUUCGAUGGCGUGGGUUCGAAUCCCACUCUUGUCA